rnacentral:pre_miRNA from 1 species
CAAGUACUCCCUCCGUCCAGAAUUACUUGUCAUCAAAAUGGAUGUGUCUAGAACUAAAAUACAUCUAGAUACAUCCAUUUCAAUGACAAGUAUUUUCGGACGGAAGGAGUACAAG